rnacentral:rRNA from 1 species
GAUGAACGCUGGCGGCGUGCCUAAUACAUGCAAGUCGAGCGAACGGACGAGAAGCUUGCUUCCCUGAUGUUAUCGGCGGACGGGUGAGUAACACGUGGAUAACCUACCUAUAAGACUGGGAUAACUUCGGGAAACCGGAGCUAAUACCGGAUAAUAUUUUGAACCGCAUGGUUCAAAAGUGAAAGACGGUCUUGCUGUCACUUAUAGAUGGAUCCGCGCUGCAUUAGUUAGUUGGUAAGGUAACGGCUUACCAAGGCAACGAUGCAUAGCCGACCUGAGAGGGUGGACGGACACAUGGGAAGUGAGACACGGCCGCGACUCCGAGGGGAGGAAACAGUAGAGAAUCUUCCGGGAGGGGCGAAUGCCUGACAUAGCACCGCCGCGUGAGUCAUGAAGGACCAAGGCUCGGAAAACGAUGUAAGUAGGGGAGAACAUAUGUGUAAGUAACUGUGCACAUCUUGACGGUACCUAAUCAGAAAGCCCCGGCUAACUACGUG